GGCUACACACGUGCUACAAUGGGUAGUACAGAGAGUCGCGACCCUGUGAGGGUGAGCUAAUCUCAGAAAACUAUUCCUAGUUCGGAUUGUACUCUGCAACUCGAGUACAUGAAGUUGGAAUCGCUAGUAAUCGCAAAUCAGCUAUGUUGCNGGUGAAUACGUUCUCGGGUCUUGUACACACCGCCCGUCACACCACGAGAGUUGGUUGCACCUGAAGUAGCAGGCCUAACCGUAAGGAGGGAUGCUCCGAGGGUGUGAUUAGCGAUUGGGGUGAAGUCGUAACAAGGUAUCCGUACGGGAACGU
rnacentral:rRNA from 1 species